rnacentral:rRNA from 1 species
CCUACGGGAGGCAGCAGUGAGGAAUAUUGGUCAAUGGCCGAAAGUCUGAAUCAGCCAAGUAGCGUGAAGGAUGACUGCCCUAUGCGUUGUAAACUUCUUUUAUAAAGGAAUAAAACGAGGCACGUGUGCCUUUUCGCAUGUACUUUAUGAAUAAGGAUCGGCUAACUCCGUGCCAGCAGCCGCGGUAAUACGGAGGAUCCGCGCGUUAUCCGGAUUUAUUGGGUUUAACGGGAGCGUAGGUGGGUUGUUAAGUCAGUUGUGAAAGUUUCCGGGUCAACCGUAAGAUUGCAAUUGAUACUGGCAGUCUUGAGUACAGUUGAGGUAGGCGGAAUUCGUGGUGUAGCGGUGAAAUGCUUAGAUAUCACGAAGAACCCCGAUUGCGAAGGCAGCUUACUAAACUGUGACUGACAUUGAUGCUCGAAAGUGUGGGUAUCAAACAGGAUUAGAUACCCCGGUAGUC